CAGAGGUCGCAAGCGUUAAUCGGAUUUACUGGGCGUAAAGCGUGUGUAGGUGGUUGUUCAAGUCGGUUGUGAAAUCCCUGGGCUCAACCUGGGAACUGCUUCCGAGACUGGACGACUAGAGAUCGGUAGAGGGCGGUGGAAUUUCCGGUGUAGCGGUGAAAUGCGUAGAUAUCGGAAGGAACACCAAUGGCGAAGGCAGCCGCCUGGGCCUGAUCUGACACUGAGACACGAAAGCGUGGGGAUCAAACAGGAUUAGAUACCCUGGUAGUCCACGCCGUAAACGAUGGGUACUUGACGUCGGUACGCUCUGCGUAUCGGUGUCGUAGCUAACGCGAUAAGUACCCCGCCUGGGGAGUACGGCCGCAAGGUUG
rnacentral:rRNA from 1 species